CCUAGGUUCCAUCAUAAAUGCUUUUGUCAAGUGAACCCUUGAGGAUGUAUGGCUGGUGUCAGGGAAGGAACAUCUGAGCAACUACCAAGCACUCUCUAAAUAUCCUGCAAUUCCAUAAUGUGAGUUUAACCAGAUCUACUGCUGAAGUCUAGCCAAUGAAAGGUCUCCCAGCACACCCCCCCAUUCCAUUUUCCUUAAUUAAGUCACAAGUAACAUCUUUAUCUCAAAGCCCCAUGCAGAGAGUAUCUUUUUUAGAUAAAGGAGGUAGUGGUUUCCACUGACAGUACUUAUCCGUAGUAAUAAAAGUUUUUUCACGGGUCACUUUGGGUUGCGAGGUAAGGCAGGAUUUACAGAUUUUUUUUUUUUUUUUUUUUUUGCAUGGUCUCUUUAUCAUUAGUAAAUACAUUUAACACUCUGAGUUUUAAGAAGCUGCCUGGCCAUGGUGGUUAUUUAGAGGAGGGGAAAAAGCAACCACACAUCAUCUUUCUUCUCUUUUAACUUGAGUUUUACACUAAAAAUCUGUUUUGAGAAGGAAAUGGAGCGUGCUAAACUAAUGACAGCUUUCCCUUCUCGUACUUUUUUUUUUCUCUUUCAGAGCAAUGCGCUCCUAUCCGCUCCUCGGCGUGGUGGGAUAUGGGCACUGCUGCCUUAAAUGAAGGCUCCAAUUACUUAAAAACAAAAAAACAAAUAAACAGCCCCCCCCCGUGGGGGGAGGAAACCGAGGAGGGUUUAAGAGGAAACUGUAAACCUGUAGGCAAACAUUUGCAGAAGUAUAGUUUCUUCGACUAGACAACCCCCUUUGCUGGGAAAUUGUUAGGUGCGUCCGUCUGAGAAACGUGCCUGGCUAGUUGGUGACUGCCCUUCAGAUCCACCCAGGGGGACGCGACAGAAGGAGGGGCGGGUGAGGCCCCCAGUUUCCAUUCUUGGGGAGAGGAAGCUGGCGUUCCACAAUGCGCUCUGAAGACAGCUGGUUAUCAGGUCCCAAUACUUGCCAAGCGUCCUCUAAUUUCACAUUCCAAAUUUCUUCUCCUUUGCAACCCCCUGUCCACUCCCCCCACCCCCCUGAGCAGAGGGUGCCAUGGCUUGAGCGGGAGGCCUCGAUCCGGCCAGGGACCCGGGGCCUUAGGAUCGGGCUCCUGGACACCCAGGGCUGCGGAGGCGAGAACUCCGAGCGGCGGAGACCGCCGUGCCGGUUUUUGCCAGAGAUUAGCCGCCGCGUGGGUCCCUCCCUCUUUCUCCGCUUCUGUCGUCCUUAGUGCCACGACGCGCAGACACGUAAGCCCAGAGCACAGAUCUCGAAGGCCCCUGGCUCCUCUGUCCGCUCCGCGCGUGAGUCAGCUGCCGUGCCCCCGCCAGGGCUGUAAUGCACUCUCGGUCCCAGCUUGUGCUUUGCAAGAAGAGGGAAUAUAACUAGACUAGUUAGGUUAAAAUAGCCAAGA
rnacentral:lncRNA from 1 species